GCCCGGAUGAGCCUCACUGGUGUGGGGUGCAGACUUCAAAUCUGUAGCCGAUUAGCGUCGGAGUGGUUCAAUUCCACCUUUCGGGCG
rnacentral:tRNA from 1 species